CUUUUUCUGUAACUCAAUUGAGAAAAAGGCAUCCCAUAAAUCAAUAAUCAUUAGGUCCCAAUCUCGCGGAAUUAAAUUUGGGUUUGGGAGACCACAUUGUAGCGCUCCCAUGGGUUGCAAAAUUUUAUUAAUGGCCCUUAGGUCAUGCAAAAAACGCCACUUUCCUGAUUUCUUUUUGAUGACAAAUACUGGAGUAUUAUAGGGACUGACCGAAGGUUCAAUGUGUCCCUUGUCUAACUGUUCUUGCACCAAUUCAGUUAAAGCUGACAAUUUUUCCAAAGUCAAUGGCCAUUGGUCCACCCACACAGGAGCAUCACUCAGAAGGGUUAAUGACAAGGGGGUUACAGACAUGACAAGGAGUUAGUGCAGAAUCAAGCGUGCAUCAAAUUGAGACAUCAAAUCUCUACCCCACAAAUUUAAAUGAAGCGGCACAAUGACAGGUUUAAUGUGGGCCACCGUGUCUGAAUCUGGGGAGGUUACCGACAACCAAUCUUUGCUGACUUUAGNAUUUUGAAUGCCUCCCACUCCUCUCACAGCUGGUGAUGAUUCUGUGGGCCAGGAAGGGGGCCAGUCUUGCUCCCGGAUACCCGAAAAAGGACGCUCUUUAAUAUUGAAGGUGAUCACGGGCCGCUUAUUACUCACCGCAGUAUCAAUUGCAAGAAUGUCAUUUUCGGAAUCAUAAUCGGAGAGAUCGGGCUCUAAGGCAACAAGAAUGGCAGUAGCCACAACAUCCCCCUCCCUCACAGUCAGCGGUGUAUCCACAAUACAAACAAAGGCAAUAGAAGAAAGAUCAGAGGAGUCAGUUAAAAAAGGUGAUGCAAGAACACCACGGGAGGUAAGAUCACGAUGCGGAUAGACCAACAAAGGCAAGGAGGGGGGCAGAGAAGGGCUGCUAGAAUGGUUAAUAGGAAGAAAGUAAGUAAGACCGGGGAUUUGCAUGUCUACUGUUUCAGAAGCGUUAAAUUCAAGAGGCACUAGAGAGGGAGAAGUGGAAGAGGUUUCAGAAGAGGUUUCAGCCUUUGAGGCGGGGCUAGCUGAUCGCCCCACCUCUAGUUUCCCGAGUUCUUAGGGGGGUUAGCACGGCAUUGAUUUGCCCAAUGAUAGCCCUUGUUACAUCGGGGACACAACGUUCUUGGUUUUUCAUUCUUUUCUCUCCCUGAUGCUGCCCCCCUGCCGGGCGCCCGGCACUGACUUUUAAACUGACCGGGCUUCCCGCAGUUGAAACAAUUUCCUGCUUUUUGCNUGGGAUUCAUUUUUUGAAGAGCCAUGGCCAGAGACUCCAUAUUGUAAGCGUUAGUCCCCACAACGCGACAAGCUCGGAGGUAGUCAGCCAAACCCGCAUCCGGGCGAGACAACAAAGGUUGCAAGACCCGCUUGCAAUCUUCGUUUGCAUUCUCAUAGGCCAGUUUUUUCGUUAACUCCUCCUUUGCUACAGGGUUGCGGAUCUCUCGCUCAAUGGCCUUUUGCAAUGUGUCCAAAAAUUCCGAAUAAGCCUCNUUUGGUCCCUGAUAAAUUUUUGCAAAAGAAGCCUUUACUGUUGAUGANAUAUCAUCUAUCUUUUUUAAAGCAGUUUGGGCUGCUAGGCCACAAUGGCCAAAGGUGAUAGCAGGCAAGUUUGCUUGAUUAGCGGAUGCCGCAUGGGGUCCUAAACCCAGAAUUUGAUCAAGCGUCAAAAGGCCAUU
ensembl:lncRNA